rnacentral:rRNA from 1 species
AGCUCCAAUAGCGUAUAUUAAAGUUGUUGCAGUUAAAAAGCUCGUAGUUGGAUUUCUGGUGUGGCGCGGCCGGCCCGCCGCCCUCUGGGUGUGUGAGUGUCGGUUCGCGUCUACCAUCCUUCUAGAGAGCGGCUCUGCCAUUCACUUGGUUGGGGUCGCGAUCUGGAUCUUUUACUUUGAAAAAAUUAGAGUGUUCAAAGCAGGCUUGCGCCACUGAAUACAUUAGCAUGGAAUAAUAAAAUAGGACUUUGGUUCUAUUUUGUUGGUUUCUAGGACUGAAGUAAUGAUUGAUAGGGAUAGUUGGGGGUGCUAGUAUUGAACGGCCAGAGGUGAAAUUCUUGGAUUCGUUCAAGACUAACUUAUGCGAAAGCAUUCACCAAGGAUGUCUUCU